UACGUAGGGGGCAAGCGUUGUCCGGAAUUAUUGGGCGUAAAGAGCUCGUAGGUGGUUCGGUAAGUCGGAUGUGAAAUCUCCAGGCUCAACUUGGAGCGGUCAUUCGAUACUGCCGUGACUAGAGGUCGGUAGGGGAGUGUGGAAUUCCUGGUGGAGCGGUGAAAUGCGCAGAUAUCAGGAGGAACACCCGUAGCGAAGGCGGCACUCUGGGCCGAUACUGACACUGAGGAGCGAAAGCGUGGGGAGCGAACAGG
rnacentral:rRNA from 1 species